UUUUCCCAACUUGUCACAUCCAUUGAAAAGCAGAAAAUUGAUGUCAUUUUCUUUCAGCAUUGCUGCAGAGUUGGAUUUUUACUCUACUAAGGGAUAAGAAACACAGCAUAUGGAACCUCUGAUAUUCCUUCUCCUGUUUGCAGGACUGUUGGGGUCAACAUCAGUAACAGCACAAAACAUGACUAACACAACAACAG